AACGAACGCUGGCGGCAUGCCUAACACAUGCAAGUCGAACGAGACCUUCCGGCCUAGUUGCGCACGGGUGCGUAACGCGUGGGAACUAGCCCGUAGGUUCGGAAUAACUCCCUGUAAGGUGUGCUAAUACCGGUUAAUGUCUUCGCACCUACGAUUUAUCGCUUUUGGAUGGGCGCGCGUUGGAUUCGCUGGUUGGUAGGGUACAAGCAUGUCAAGGCGACGAUGCAUAGCUGGUGUGAGAGGAUGAUCCACAACGCUGGGACUGAGACACGGGCCAGACUCCUACGCGAGGGAGCAGUGGAGAAUAUUAGAGGAGGGGCGCAAGUCUGAUACAGCCGUGCCGGGGAAGUGGUGAAGGGCGUAGUAUUGUAAAGCUCUUUGAGCCGAGAUGAGAAUGACGGUACCGGGAGAAUAAGCUCCGGCUAACUCCGUG
rnacentral:rRNA from 1 species